GGACUGGUCCUGCUGGAUGGACCCACACUCUCUGAGGCCCUACUACUACUGUUCUUCUGCAGUCCUGGGACCUGGAUACGGCCUCCCAUGCACCAAGAUCUCUUCUAUGCCUACCAGCAUUUGGCAAAAAAAGCAGGGCAUCCUGGAAAGACAGAAGCAGCAGCAACAUAAAUUAAGAAGGG